ACUCCGGGACCCUUAGGAAACUAGGGGUGCUUUCCAUCUGGAAGAAUCUGGAGACAGGUGCUGCAUGGCUGUCGUCAGCUCGUGUCGUGAGAUGUUGGGUUAAGUCCCGCAACGAGCGCAACCCUUGCCUUUAGUUGCCAGCAGUUCGGCUGGGCACUCUAAAGGGACUGCCGGUGUUAAACCGGAGGAAGGUGGGGAUGACGUCAAGUCCUCAUGGCCUUUAUGACCAGGGCUACACACGUACUACAAUGGCCGAUACAAAGGGCAGCGACACUGCGAGGUGAAGCCAAUCCCGUAAAAUCGGCCUCAGUCCGGAUUGGAGUCUGCAACUCGACUCCAUGAAGUUGGAAUCGCUAGUAAUCGUGGAUCAGCAUGCCACGGUGAAUACGUUCCCGGGCCUU
rnacentral:rRNA from 1 species